UACGAAGGGUGCUAGCGUUGUUCGGAAUCACUGGGCGUAAAACGCGCGUAGGCGGCUUUUCAAGUCAGGGGUGAAAUCCCACGGCUCAACCGUGGAACUGCCUUUGAAACUGUAAAGCUAGAGUGUCGGAGGGGAUAGCGGAAUUGCUAAUGUAGAGGUGAAAUUCGUAGAUAUUAGCAGGAACACCGGUGGCGAAGGCGGCUAUCUGGACGACAACUGACGCUGAGGCGCGAAAGCGUGGGGAUCAAACAGG
rnacentral:rRNA from 1 species